rnacentral:lncRNA from 10 species
CUCAAAUCCCAGACUUUAAGUGGUCUUGCAAAAGUCAUCUCUGUCUUCCCCAUUAGAUAUGAAGAUGCAUGGAGCCUUGGAAAUUGCUAGUGGCCAUCUUGGAAGCACAUCAGAAGCACCACGUGAGCCUGCUGACUCGUAGCCAAAACUGGAGAUACAGAAAUGGUCCCAAUCAUAGAAUUUGAGCUUUGUUUCCCAGGACUUUUGUAACACAGUACCCAACACUAGCCUUUAGGAAGGGGGAAACAGCAAGUGGAGAAGAAGCUUCCUUUUUAAUGACAUGACCUGGAAGUUGCAAAUAUGUCUUCAACUCAUAUCCAAUUGGCGAGAGCCUAGCUGCAAGAGAAGCUGGAAACAUCUCUAGCUGUGUGGCCAUAUUCUGGGGCUUCUGCACUUUCUUUUAUGAGAAGGAAUGAGAUUGGAACUAUAAGGCCUGAUAAAAUUUGGAAGUUAUCAUUUAUUUAACAAUCACCAGGUACCGAGGGCCUGCUGUUUUCCUCAUAGUCUUAUAGUCCAGUUGGAAAGAUAGACAAUUAAAUAGAAAUUUAAAAUAAAGUGUGAAGAUGUUGUAUUGGGGAAACAAAGUACUGUAAGAACACAGGGCAGGAGAACCUAACCUAGUCUAGCGACAAAAGGAUCUGCAAGACCUUCCUGGGGGCAUUGAUGCUACGCUGAGAAUUCUGUGGAAGGUAUUGUUUGGGUAAACAGUGGAAAUUUUCAAAGGGUGGGGAUCAGAGACAAUGUGUUUUCUAAGAAAUCUUCCAAAGACAGAAGUCAUUUUACAUGGCUGCUGCAAGAAAUCUUACCCCAAGGCAGGAGCAAAGGGAAAGCUAUGUAGAAUUUAUCGAGAAAGGAAGAAGGAUUACUGAGCUGGAAAGAAAUUUUCUUGGCACCAGUCUUAUAGCAAAGUAUAGAGUCAUGAUGAGCCCCAGAUUCUGGUCAUCUACAGUGAUUUGAAACAUGGACGUGGUUAUUGUUUGGCCACAAGCACCAAUAAAUCGAUCAAGCUUUUCAACAAGAAUUAGAAUAUUCCUAUAAUUAUCCAUUAAUCACGUCUUUUGGAAAGGUAGGAAGUGGUAGGGAUCACAUCUGUUUGGUUGUUUGGCAACAAAGUAUUAGCUCUCCUAGUGUUUAUCUGGUGUUUACUAAAAAAAAUGUUGUAAGUUUGAGUCAUGAUGAAAUCUAUUUUAUUUGGAGAGUUGCUUUUGAGAAUGGAUAGCAAAUUGUCCCAGGGAAAAAACAUGAUCAGGAAAAAAAUAUCGUAAGAUAAUGUUUGGGUAGGAGUAGAGGAACUUACUUGAAUGUUUCUUGCUAGUUUGGAACAAAACAUCUAAUCUUUUCCUACUUUGAAACAGGAUAUCUCCCUUUUGGUGUAAAUAUUUUAUUAGGUUUUGGUUAAAGGAUGGAUUCUGAGCUACCACAUAAUUUUAAUUUGACUUUUCUUUCUUUCUUUUUUUUUUUUUGAGACGGA